rnacentral:lncRNA from 1 species
UGGAAUCAUUCUACUGCUUUGUCAGUUCCUUAAAAUUACAUUUAUUGCUUUCUGUUCACUCAUGAAUCUGAACACAAUAAAUUGCGAAUACUGCACACAUUGACUUGAGUCUAUGGCUGGAAAUCUAAACAACCGUGGUUUCAAAUUAAAAAUUUUCACUUUCAUUUUCAAAGGUCUGUUAGCUAGCAGAAGAAAUUGCGUGGAAAAGAAGAUACGUUUUGUCGAAAAAUCUGUCCAAGGACUUGGUGUUAAGGAAAGACUUUGAAUGGUAAGAGUUUCUUCACUUUUCUUCUGCUUUUAAUGCACUAAAUGGUGAACCCAUUUGGUCUUUCCAAGUUGGUACUGGCAAAAGCCUAACUGAAUGCAGAAAAAUAUUCAACUUGACACCUCAGGCAAUUAAGACACUACUUCCUAGACAAUGAAUUCAAUUCAAAUUUUCUGAAGUUAAAAUUUAUACAAUUACGAAUAAUCAUGAACACAUUUCAUGCAGAUGACAGAUGAGCACAAGUAAUAAAUCAUAAAUUAGAUCUUUAAAUUAAUAAAUCGUAAAUUAGAUUCCACAACAAUAGAAUUAAUCAACACUCGUAUCAUAUCAAGUUCUUUUUAUCACUUAAGUUACCACGAACAGCUGUGACAACCGGGAGGCUUUACAGUGGCCGAUGGGAGCUGCAACUGUUAGGAUGCUAUUGUGCUGGCUGAGGCUGAUUCGCUGACUUUGCUAUCAUGAGCUGAGCUAGGGCUACCGUGAGGCAUGAGAUACUGUCGUGGGCUGCUGUGGUCGAUUCAGGCCGUCAGCAGCGAUGCUGUCGUGGACUCGUGAGGCUGUGUUGGCUGUCGUGGUGUGCUGUCCUGGCUGUCGUGCCGACGUGGAAGCAACCGGCGGCCAAAUUCGAGAGAGAAGGAGUCGAGGAGAUGCUGGCUGCUAGUGUUCGUUCUGUGGUUUUGGGAAAUUGUCAUUUGUCAAUUGGGAUCGGGUUGCACCGUAAGAGUUUUAGUUUUUUUUUUUUUUUCAAUGUAAGCGGUUGUUACUAUUAACCGAAUUGCAAAACCAAUCGGGUUAAAGAAUUUAAUCCGAUUGAUUUUUAGGUUAAUCCGAACUGAACCAAAUCAAAAGUUGAAUAAAAAUUUAAGUUCGGACCUGAAUAAAAAGCCACCAAUUAUAUGCAAUCAAUUGAUUUAUGCAAGUAAAGGUUGUGUCAAAGUCAUGGGCGGUUUGGCACCAUUAACAUAUUUCAAAAUGGCCACCCAAAUUGAAGGCCAAGUAGAUGCCGCCCAAGGAAAGAAACAAAAGAGAAAGAAGAAAAGAAGAAAGAGAGAAGAAAAAGAGAUGUC